ensembl:lncRNA
UCCUCAUUGUUGCCUGGAUGUCGCCUUCCCAAAGGAUCUUGGAGCUAGACUUCCAGGAAGGAAAACCCAGAUUCUCUGCAUUAUGUAUUUCUGAUCUUGGGCUCUGUUUUAAAACUACACUCUGCCGGAGUAUAAUCAUCAGUAAAAUGCAGGAGAUUCAUGCUUUCAACUUUUUGAAAAUUAUGCUUUGACUCUUUUCAUGGCCAGAGGAUGCCCAGGUGGACUCAUGUGCUAGAGCCAACUAACUAAACCGUGUGAGAUAAAUAAAGUCAGUUAUGGGCUGUUCAAGCCCAGGCAUGUCUCUUCCAGGCUCCAAGUCCUAAUGGGUAAGAGAAUUGGAUUUUCACCAACUCUAUGUUUCUCUUUUCUUCCUGAAUCUUUGUUUUUAUUUAUGAUUUUGAAUGUUGGCCAGUUUGGUUGUCGUUCCAAUCGGUGCACUGUCAAUGUAUUAUUCCUCAUUUGUGGCAGCUAUGGUGUACAGAGCCUACCAUGGUUCCUGUGAUUACUGCUCCCCCAUGUUAACACCCUGUACAGUUCCCUCCCUGUAAAUAUGGGCAGGACCUGUGACUUGUUUCUGACCUGCAGAAAAUGGCAAGCAUGAAGGGAUUUUGCAGAUAGGUAAGAUCCACAAACAACUGAUUGUGAGUUACUUGAAAGAGAAAGUACCCUUCACGGGCCUGAUGUAAUCAGGUAAAGCUUUCAAAGAGUGGCUGGGCCUCCCCUGAGUGAGCGAGACUUUUGCCUGCCUUGAAGAAGUAAGCAGCCACAUUAUGAAGUGCCCGUGAAGAGGGCCGCAAGAAAAUGAAUUCUGCCAACAAGUUGAGCAAGCUCGGCACUGAAGUCUUCUGCAGGCAAGCCUGCAGAUGAGAAUGCAGUACUGUUAAAACUUUGAUUGCAGCUGGGUGAGACCUUGAAGCAGAGAACACAGCUAAGGCUUGCCCAGACUCCUGACCCCAGAAAACUGUUAGAUAAUAAACAAGAGUUUGUUGCUUUCAGUCACUAAAUUUGAAGUUAUCUGUUACACAGCAAAAGCAAACGAAUACAGCAGCAAUGCCUGAGAAUUUGGGUUUUGGUCUAUUUGGUAGGGAACAUCUAUUCUCCAUCAGGUGAGAGAUGCCCCAGAAUUUGGUUUUCUAGUCUUUUGUUAAUCUGUUUGUUUUUGCAGGAAUAUAUCUUGCUUCUUCUGGAAAGGAGAAUGGUGCUCUUUCUACUAAUGAACUUUGGGGUUCUAUAUUUAUUCUGUCCGGAGGCUGGUGUUGUACAACCAAAGCAAGAAGCUCUCUGUGUUUCUUGAUAUAAUUGACAAAAGUCUUUACCUGUUAUUGUAUGAGUACUACAUCUUCACCUACCUCUGGAGAAUAUAAAUAAGAUGAUUAUAAAGUCUCUUACAUGAAGUGUCAGUGGCAGAUAGGGAUGCUGUUUGGAGCCUUUGUCAGGCCUCUAUAGAAAAAUCACAGUACAAGCCCUUAGGUAUCUGAAGCAAAGCCCUGCCACCUCCUGCAUCUCACUUACUCUCCUUUUGAGAAAUAGUUCUUGGUCUGCUACUGGGCCUUAGCAGAGACUGAGCUCUUAAUCAUGGGCCACCAAGUUACUAUGCAACUUGAGCUGCCCAUCAUGAACUGGGUGUUAUCUGACCCACUAAGCAAUAAAGUUGGGCAUGAACAGCAACAGUCAUCAUCAAAUGGAAGCAGAAUACGGAGGCACAAGUAGGUUACAUGAAGAAGUGGUAAAUGCCCAUGGUCCCUGCUUCUGCUACACUGCCUUUUUUUCCCAGCCUGCAUCUAUGGCCCUAUAGGGAGUUCUCUACAAUCAGUUGACAAAAGAUGAAAAGACUUAUGCCUGGUUUACAAAUGAUUCUGCCAGAUAUGCAGGCACCACUCAAAAGUGGACAGCUGCAAGGGGCUGGCCCCGUGGCCGAGCGGUUGAGUUCGCGCGCUCCGCUGCAGGCGGCCCAGUGUUUCGUUGGUUUGAAUCCUGGGCGCGGACAUGACAUUGCUCAUCAGGCCACGCUGGGGCAGCAUCCCACAUGCCACAACUAGAAGGACCCACAACAAAGAAUAUACAACUAUGUACUGGGGGGCUUUGGGGAGAAAAAGGAAAAAAUAAAAUCUUAAAAAAAAAAAAAAGUGGACAGCUGCAGCACUACAACCCCUUUCUGAGACAACCCUGAAGAACAGUGGUGAAGGGAAGUCUUCCCAGUGGGCAGAAUUCCAAGAAGUAUAUCUGAUUGUUUGCUGUAGUUGGAAGGAGAAAUGGACAGAUGUGCAAUUCUAUACUGAUUCAUGGGUUGUGGCCAAUGGUUUGGCUAAGUGGUCAGAGACUUGGAGGGAACACAAUUGGAAAAUUCAUGAAAAGGCAAUUUGAGGAAGGGGUUUAUAGAAAUAUCUCUCUGAAUGGGCAAAAAAAGUGAAGAUAUUUGUGUCCCAUGUGAAUGUUCACCAAAGGAUGACCUCAGCAGAGGAGGAUUUUAAUAAUCAAGUGAAUAAGAUGACAUUUUCUGUGGAUACCAGUCAGCCUCUUUCCCCAGCCACCCCUGGCCUUCCCCAAUAGGCUCAUGAACAAUGUGGCCGUGGCGGCAGGGGUGGAGAUUAUGCGUGGGCUCAGCAACAUGAACUUCCACUCACAAAGGCUGAUUUGGCUAAAGUCACUGCUGAGUGCAUCAUCUACCAGCAUUAGAGACCAACACUAAGUCUCAGAUGUGACACCAUUACCCAAGGGGCUCAGCCAAUUACCAGGGGGCAGGUUGAUUACAUGGAACUGCUUUCAUCAUGGAGGGAACAACAUGCUCUUACUGGAACAGACCCUUAUUCUGGAUAUGGACUUUCCCUGCACAAAAUGCUUCUGCCAAAACUAUGAUCCAUGUACUUACAGAAUGCCUUUUCCACCAUCAAAUUAUUCCACACAGCAUUGCUUCUGAU